AUCUACGGCCAUGCCACCCUGAACAAGACCUAUCCUGUCUGAUCUUGGAAGCUAAGCAGGGUCAGGCCUGGUUAGUACUUGGAUGGGCGAGCACAUAGGAAAACCACGUACUGUAGGCU
rnacentral:rRNA from 1 species